CUUCCCAAACUGGGAUUAGAUACCCCCCUAUGCCCAGCCCUAAACACAAAUAAUUUACAUAACAAAAUUAUUUGCCAGAGAACUACUAGCAACAGCUUAAAACUCAAAGGACUUGGCGGUGCUUUAUAUCCCAUCUAGAGGAGCCUGUUCUAUAAUCGAUAAACCCCGAUAAACCUCACCACU
rnacentral:rRNA from 1 species